rnacentral:rRNA from 1 species
AUUGAACGCUGGCGGCAUGCUUUACACAUGCAAGUCGAACGGUAACAGGGUGCUUGCACCGCUGACGAGUGGCGAACGGGUGAGUAAUGCGUCGGAACGUGCCGAGUAGUGGGGGAUAACGCAGCGAAAGUUGUGCUAAUACCGCAUACGUACUGAGGUAGAAAGUGGGGGACCUUCGGGCCUCACGCUAUUCGAGCGGCCGACGUCUGAUUAGUUAGUAGGUGAGGUAAAGGCUCACCUAGGCGACGAUCAGUAGCGGGUCUGAGAGGAUGAUCCGCCACACUGGGACUGGGACACGGCCCAGACUCCUACGGGAGGCAGCAGUGGGGAAUUUUGGACAAUGGGCGAAAGCCUGAUCCAGCCAUGCCGCGUGUCUGAAGAAGGCCUUCGGGUUGUAAAGGACUUUUGUCAGGGAGGAAAUCCCUAGCGUUAAUACCGCUGGGGGAUGACAGUACCUGAAGAAUAAGCACCGGCUAACUACGUGCCAGCAGCCGCCGCGGUAA